ACCUUCUCAUGAGCUCCUGUUAAUCUACUCUAUGAUUAUACAUGGAUUCGCACGAGAAGCAUAGUCAGUGCACAGUAUGAAUGGAUUUUGCCCGUCUUUCAUAUGGGCACUACUAUAGUCUGCUGUGCUACACAU
ensembl:snoRNA SNORA75 Small nucleolar RNA SNORA75